rnacentral:misc_RNA from 2 species
CCAACUGUGGGCGAGGCCUAGCCUCCCCACGCUCCUUCUCAUCCCUUUAUGGUGUACCUUCAGUUUCCUCGGCAGGCUUGCCUGCCAGCGAGGACCUUCCAUAAACCUUUUUGCAGUAAGCAGUAUACGUCUUAUCAAAAACAAAUCGUUUA